CAAAUACUCCCUCUGUCCGGAAAUAUUUGUCAUAAGAAUGGAUGUAUCUAGAUGUAUUUUAGUUUUAGAUACAUCCUUUUUUAUCCAUUUAUGCGACAAGUAAUUCCGGACGGAGGGAGUAUAUG
rnacentral:pre_miRNA from 1 species